AGUAAUGUAUGGGGAUCUGCCCGAUAGAGGGGAUAACUACUGGAAACGGUGGCUAAUACCGCAUAAUGUCUACGGACCAAAGCAGGGGCUCUUCGGACCUUGCACUAUCGGAUGAACCCAUAUGGGAUUAGCUAGUAGGUGGGGUAAAGGCUCACCUAGGCGACGACCUCUAGCUGGUCUGAGAGGAUGAUCAGCCACACUGGGACUGAGACACGGCCCAG
rnacentral:rRNA from 1 species